AUGUCAUCAUCGUCGUCGUCGUCGUUACCCACAUCAUCUGCGUCAACAACGACUUCGUCGAUCACAUCAAGACCAUCAGCAUCACAUCACUUGGAGUCCAUACUUAGCUCGUCUUCAUCUUCUCCAUCAAUUUUAUCAUCUCUUACAACUCAAUCCACUUCAUCAAUACCCACCUCUUCAUCAUCAUCAUCACAACGUCAAUCAACCAGCAAUGCAGAUCGCCCUGUUUCUCCCAAACCGAUGCCGACACCAACGACUCUAUCCGAGUGGCAAUUGUUGGCUGUACUGAGCAAAGCGAAUUUAGUUCAGUACUAUGAUGUUUUCAUAGCACAAGGUGGCGACGAUAUCAAUCAGAUCAUGGCAUGCGAGGAGAGAGAAUUUCUGGAAAUUAUGAAUCUUGUGGGAAUGCUUCCGAAGCCUCUUCAUGUCCGGCGGAUGCAGAGAGCACUUGCUGAGUAUAGUCAGGAUCAGACUGCAUUCAACCUGGCAGCUCUUCAACAAAUCGGUCCACCACCACCACUGAACUACACACCUGCGGGUACUGAUCCGAUGGCUCUUCUGCUACCCGGAAUCGCCGCUGCCACGUCGCCGAAAUUCCCGAGUCUCCGAUUUUUGAGUCAGCUGUCGUCAGUUGCUGAAAAAGUUUCGACACCAUCCGAAGCAGCAGACACGUCAUCAUCGUCUCCGUCACUGAAUCUGAACACGACAUCGUCGAAUUCGCGUUCAAGUUCUCCACUCCUCUACUCGAGUCUCUGGCCUCUGAUCAACAGUCAUCAUCCACCUCAUCUGUUCGAAGCGUGCUCCCCUCAACCAGCUCAAACACAUCCCACCCUGAGCUCCCUGCUGGAAUCCUCCCCGCCACCACCACCAAUGUCUCCGCCGCAGUUCCGCCACCAUCAUCGAGAGCCACCGCCAACGUAUUCUCCGGAAACAGCAUUGGCCUCAAUUUUAGUGGUGCAGCAAGCGUUACACGCCACCUCGUCGUCCCUCCAUCUAGCACAUCCAUUCAACAACCAUCCACUUCAUUUGGACGAUCAUCGUCCAUCACCGGCCAAGAAAAAGAGGGGUCGUCCUCUCCUUUUUUAGGUGUUGGUUAUUCACAACCAUAUGGCAAUGAUUUCGUUUCAUUGGGAGAUUUUGAUCCAAAUAAUCCAUCACUAACUGAAAAUCCGACUCUAUCAACUGCUCAAAUAUCCCGUCUCGCUGAGUGUGCUCUGGCGGCUUCCAAGAAUCUCCCGCCACUUCCGCCGAGGUUGGUGCAGAAUAAGAAACGAGUUUCAAAAGAAGUCAUAGAACUCCUCAAAUGCUCUCCAGCAACUCCAUCAAUGAUCCACGCGUUUCGCAAGUAUUCUGCAAUUUACGGACGUUUUGACACUAAACGGAAGCCCCAUAAAGUUUUGACACUUCAUGAGACAACUGUAAAUGAAGCAGCUGCUCAGCUAUGUCUUCUCGUUCCGUCUCUUUUGACACGACGGGAUGAGCUGUUUCCGUUGGCUCGACAAAUUGUCAAAGAUGCUGGAUAUAACUAUGCAAAAAGUAGAAAACGACCAUGUGAUCCAGCUGAUUUGCAUAGUCCGAUAAGCUCGCCGGGCAACUCUCCGCCCCCUCAAGAAUCGGAAUUCGAUGAACAACCGUCCAGUUCUUCAGGUGCUUUUAAGGAGGAAGAAAGGCCACCAAUUCCACCGGAAGCAUGGGCGGCGAUAAUCGAAAAAAUGAAGGGUGAGCUCCCGGAAUCUUGA
rnacentral:misc_RNA from 1 species